AUUCUGCGAUCGUUUUAGGGCAGCGGAGCAGCGUUUGUCACCUUCCGUGCCUGCCGAAGUCUCCUACUCAGCUACCAAGGUGCCAGGAUGCCUAGACUGCGGGAGAAGCCGCACGCGCGAAAAAAGAGCGUCGCUGGAAACAAAGACGAUAUUCGAGGACUUCGGAUCUCGCACCGGCAGCCAGCAGUCAACAGCUCGAGAAUUCGCAAGUCUAGAACUGUGCAGUGGCGCGUAUACCCCGCACGCAUGCAUUAACAUGUGCGGUCGGGCUGUCCCUGCAAACAUUUGUACGCCUUGUGAUGUUGGUCGCUGCACCGAGGCGACAUCGGAAGUUCAGGACGGUGGUUGUGACACUACGCUCACUAAGGACAAUGUGCCUUGUUUCCCUGAUGGAUAUACUCUACGUGACGCUUCGGAUGGUUCACUUCGCUGUGAGAACGGAACAGGAUCCCUUAGGAGAGGUGUACGCACAAGUCAAUGCGGGUUUUCUGGUAAGCAGGACCCCGGAGUCUACAUUUUUCUUUAGCUACCGCGGACUCUUCAUUGGCGCCCUUUUGAUUCUCCUGGCAAAGAGCUUCUCCUGGCUAAUGCGCUCAUGAUCAGAGCUGUAGCCGUCAGUAGCAGCAAGAUCGCCUGCUGAUCUCUACGAAAAAUAAAAAGCUCCUUUUAAAAAAGUGAAGAAUAUAUUAGUUGUUUUUAUCUACAAGUUUGUUUAAUAUCGUGAGAAUAUGGUCACUACGGCCACGGCGGGGACAUUGUAAACGAGAGUACGCAUUCGAUGGCCAAGUGAGUUUUAAUAAUUGUAAGAACGCACUACGCCACGAGAAAGAGCUAUUGUUUAAAGAAAGUGAAGAAUAUAUUGAUUGUUGUUCACUAAUAGUUCGUUUAGCUACGUCAGAAUGUGGAGACAUUGGGAACGAGAGUACGCAUUUGACGGCAAGUUGACUUACGAGAACGCACUACGUCGCGAAUAACAUUUAAGCUGCAAUACCAUUAAGCAUGUCCGUGUGGCACCCCGCGAAUGACAUUAAAGUUUAAGGCAUUAGCCAGUUAAUGUCAUUUUUUGUGCCCGUGUCGCAGAGUGCUAGUGAAGUGAUGUAGUCAAGAUUAAUUCCUUCAUGUCAUUUCUGUUGCUUUCGCUGCUUAAUAAUGCUAAUUGAUGUAUUUUUGCUCUUUCUUUUUAUUCCAUGCUGCAAACACAAAUGUCAAAGCAGGGUGGGCAAUAAGUAUUUUUUGUUCUGCUGUUCUCUACCUUGUGUUGUGCUAUUGAAAUUGCAAGUUUUCUUCUUUAUCCGUGUAUUUAUUUGUUCUUUGAACAGUACGCAUAUAUCUGCUUAUUGGUCUUUUUAUGUAUAUGUAUAAGGUGACAAUAAACGUUUAAUUGUAUUUGGAA